GAGUUUGAUCAUGGCUCAGAACGUACGCUGGCGGCACGCCUAACACAUGCAAGUCGAACGCAGUAGCAAUACUGAGUGGCAAACGGGUGAGUAUAAUGUGGGAAUCUGCCUUUUGGUUUGGAAUAACACGGGGAAACUUGUGCUAAUACCGAAUAAGCCCUUACGGGGAAAGUUUUAACGCCGAAAGAUGAGCCUGCACUUGAUUAGCUAGUUGGUAAGGUAAAAGCUUACCAAGGCAACGAUCAAUAGCUGUUCUUAGAGGAAGACCAGCCACAUUGGGACUGAGACACGGCCCAGACUCCUACGGGAGGCAGCAGUGGGGAAUCUUGCACAAUGGGGGAAACCCUGAUGCAGCGAUGCCGCGUGAGUGAAGAAGGCCCUUGGGUUGUAAAACUCUUUCGUCGGGGAAGAAAAUGACUGUACCCGAAUAAGAAGGUCCGGCUAACUUCGUGCCAGCAGCCGCGGUAAUACGAAGGGACCUAGCGUAGUUCGGAAUUACUGGGCUUAAAGAGCUCGUAGGUGGUUAAAAAAGUUGAUGGUGAAAUCCCAAGGCUCAACCUUGGAACUGCCAUCAAAACUUUUUAGCUAGAGUGUGAUAGAGGUAAGUGGAAUUUCUAGUGUAGAGGUGAAAUUCGUAGAUAUUAGAAAGAACACCAAAUGCGAAGGCAACUUACUGGGUCACUACUGACACUGAGGAGCGAAAGCAUGGGUAGCGAAGAGGAUUAGAUACCCUCGUAGUCCAUGCCGUAAACGAUGUGUGCUAGACGUUGGAAAUAUAUUUUUCAGUGUCGCAGCGAAAGCAUUAAGCACACCGCCUGGGGAGUACGA
rnacentral:rRNA from 1 species